GUGUCAGCAGCCGCGGUAAUACGUAGGGUGCAGGCGUUAAUCGGAAUUACUGGGCGUAAAGCGUGCGCAGGCGGUUUGUUAAGACAGAUGUGAAAUCCCCGGGCUUAACCUGGGAACUGCGUUUGUAACUGGCAAGCUAGAGUGUGGCAGAGGGGGGUGGAAUUCCAAGUGUAGCAGUGAAAUGCGUAGAUAUUUGGAGGAACACCAAUGGCGAAGGCAGCCCCCUGGGUUAACACUGACGCUCAUGCACGAAAGCGUGGGGAGCAAACAGGAUUAGAUACCCUGGUAGUCC
rnacentral:rRNA from 1 species